CAAAAAUCAUUUUCUUGAUUAUACGUAUGUGUCCACUUGCCUAAUUAAGGGAAAAUGUAGAAAUUACAGGUAUUUUGGCCAAGUAUUAUCUUCUUUGGCAGGUUAUUAUGAAGGACUGCUAUGUUUUAUUUUUCUUUCCCAGUAUCUAAGCUAAUCACAGCACGUGUAAGUAAAAGUAUCCUUGCUUAUGUGUCCACCCUCCCAAUACUUGAUCCUCCUCAAAGUUCUCAUUGGUUUGAAUCAUACGCUCAGUAAAGCAGAGCUGAUUUUUUUAUAGGUGCUAAAUCACUUUCUUUCAGAAAACCAGAAGGAACGAAUCCACAGGAACGCUUUAGAAUCAAAGGAGCUUUCUGGUUGAGGACCAGAUGAGCUAGGAGAACAGAAAAAAGGAAUCACACUUAUGGUUGAAAUACGGCCGUGUUAAAAACAGUAAGUGGAAAAAGUAUCCAUUGGCAUUCAUAUUAGGUAAGAACCAACAUGUGAGCUUUUGUGAGAUAAUAAUAAGUAGGUUUGGUUUAUAGUUACAUAGGAAACUCUAAAGCUGGUGGCUUCAUUUCUAUCCUCAGAUGGGAGUCUUCUGCAGCAAGGUUGGAGCUCAGUAAUAAGGAGGAUGAUAAUACUGAGAUAGUUGUGAAUCGCAGAAUGGAUGUGAUGCAACUACCAGCCAACAAAAAUAAAACCUCACUCAUAAGGCUGAAUCAUGUGACAGAAGAGGCACAUUUAGCAGCAAUGUGCCAGGUCCUGGCUGUAACUUGGUAUUUCCUGCCAAUGUUUGCUGGUGUUGUGUCCCUUCAGAGUAGUGAAGGCAAGAGUUACCCUGAGAGAGAAUGGCUGCCUUGGAUAUCCAUGAAGGACUUAGAAGAAAACUUAAAGAGUGACUACAGGAGGCAGCAUGUCAUUCUUUUUUUUUUUUUUUUUGAUGAAUGUUCAAGUCUUUGCUGGAUGAGCACUUUGUCUGAUGACAGACUAAAGAGUUCCUGGAUCCUCGUCUGAGGAAAUGUGCCAUUUUUAUUGCCAGUACUUUUAAAUUGUUAUGAAGACUCUGAACACCUGCCAGAAAUGAAAACAUGUAAGGGAAUAACUAUUCAGAAAAAGUUUAAAGCCAAAGUGUCAAACUACCACUGCCCUCCUCAUUUGCUUGGUCUUCAGAGCUA
rnacentral:lncRNA from 1 species